rnacentral:rRNA from 1 species
UACGGAGGGUGCAAGCGUUGUCCGGAUUUAUUGGGUUUAAAGGGUGCGUAGGCGGGAUAUUAAGUCAGUGGUGAAAGCCCACAGCUCAACUGUGGAACUGCCAUUGAUACUGGUAUUCUUGAGUACGGAUGAGGUAAGCGGAAUUUAUGGUGUAGCGGUGAAAUGCAUAGAUACCAUAAAGAACACCGAUAGCGAAGGCAGCUUACCGGGCCGUAACUGACGCUGAGGCACGAAAGCGUGGGGAGCGAAC